rnacentral:rRNA from 1 species
CAGAGGGUGCAAGCGUUGCUCGGAAUCAUUGGGCGUAAAGGGCAAGUAGGUGGUCUCAUUUGUCUUGUGUGAAAUCCUUGGGCUUAACUCAAGAAGUGCGCAAGAAACGGUGAGACUCGAGUUCUGGAGAGGGUCGUGGAAUUCCCGGUGUAGCGGUGAAAUGCGUAGAGAUCGGGAGGAACACCAGAGGCGAAGGCGGCGACCUGGACAGAUACUGACACUCAACUGCGAAAGCGUGGGAGCAAACAGGAUU